GGCAGUGCUGGGUUUCCCAUACGCCUCUCGGGCUCCCCUCCCCCAUGUCCGCCAGGGACCCCCGGGGUCACUCACCUGCGUGGGGCAUGGUGAUGGUCUCGUUGGUGUUGGAGCCCACGUUGAAGAUGACCACGGCCGAGGCGUUCUGCAGGAAAGCGUUCCGGAUCUUAUCCCUGUCCCAGUUUCUUGCCACUGAGGGUGGCCUGCUUCGCUGCUCUGAGAUCAUGUAUUCUGCAAACAAGAGUGGAAGAAUGUUCAGAGUCCAGCAACUCCUUUGACUGCUGAUGCAAGCACACUGUACACAAAUGGAAGGCUCUGGAAAAGUUCUUCUGGGGCGUGAGACUGAUGCUAUAAUAUGUUCCCUGGGGAAGAAAGAAACAUGGCUAUACUCUGCUGUGACUACCGAGGACAGAAGCUGCUGGGGCUCCAUCCUUGUGUCUGAUGCUGCAGCUCGCCGGGCGUCCACUCCUGUGGGCGCUUUCACAGGUUUCUGAUGACCCUCACUGAGGAAUCUUUUUCUGAGUUGUCCUCUUACAGAGAAGCAGGUUCUUAAAAACCUGUAUAAUUAUCAAGGUUAUUCUUUGAAAUAUACCAUUUUAGAUGUUAUUAGUAAUCUGUAGGAAUCAGAUCACUGUAAUAAUAUUAAAAUUAAAAGUAAAAUUUAGGUG